CAGCCUGGUAAGAAACACAUCCUUUUGCACCAAAAGGUGUGUUUUGCAUCUCUUUAGACCUGUAGGCAUGAGUAAGAACUUCAGAUCUUUGAACUAGCAAGUUUGUUUUAAUAUUAAUGUGUUAUAUGAAUUUAUAAUUGUGAUUAUUUGAUUGUUUCUCCCCAGACAACAAUAAUGGAGUGGGGACUUUGAUUUUCAGUGGAGACAAAAUUGUUGCCCUGGGCUACAGUGGAUAUCCAAAAGGGUCAAUGAAUAGUUUGUUUGGAAAGAAGGCAGAUGUUGAUUUUGACAAGCAUGCAGUUGUAUGUGCAGAAGCUAAUGCAAUUAUUAUGAGUUCUGAGAGAGAUCUGAGUAAUGCUGAACUUCUCACUACAAGUGAACCCUGCAAUGACUGUCUGAAGCUGAUCCAAGCAAAGAAGAUAGCAAAAAUCAUUUGGCCUUUGCGAGACAGAAAGCAAUCGAAAGGAUUGGCUGAAGAUCCUUCAGGUAGG